AUUGAACGCUGGCGGCAGGCCUAACACAUGCAAGUCGAGCGGAUGAAGGGAGCUUGCUCCUGGAUUCAGCGGCGGACGGGUGAGUAAUGCCUAGGAAUCUGCCUGGUAGUGGGGGAUAACGUCCGGAAACGGGCGCUAAUACCGCAUACGUCCUGAGGGAGAAAGUGGGGGAUCUUCGGACCUCACGCUAUCAGAUGAGCCUAGGUCGGAUUAGCUAGUUGGUGGGGUAAAGGCCUACCAAGGCGACGAUCCGUAACUGGUCUGAGAGGAUGAUCAGUCACACUGGAACUGAGACACGGUCCAGACUCCUACGGGAGGCAGCAGUGGGGAAUAUUGGACAAUGGGCGAAAGCCUGAUCCAGCCAUGCCGCGUGUGUGAAGAAGGUCUUCGGAUUGUAAAGCACUUUAAGUUGGGGGGAAGGGCAGUAAGUUAAUACCUUGCUGUUUGGACGUUACCAACAGAAUAAGCACCGGCUAACUUCGU
rnacentral:rRNA from 1 species